rnacentral:rRNA from 1 species
CCUACGGGAUGCAGCAGUGGGGAAUAUUGCACAAUGGGGGAAACCCUGAUGCAGCGACGCCGCGUGAGUGAAGAAGUAUUUCGGUACGUAAAGCUCUAUCAGCAGGGAAGAAAAUGACGGUACCUGACUAAGAAGCCACGGCUAACUACGUGCCAGCAGCCGCGGUAAUACGGAGGGGGCAAGCGUUAUCCGGAUUUACUGGGUGUAAAGGGAGCGUAGACGGCAGCGCAAGUCUGGAGUGAAAUCCCAUGGCUUAACCAUGGAACUGCUUUGGAAACUGUGCAGCUAGAGUGCAGGAGAGGUAAGCGGAAUUCCUAGUGUAGCGGUGAAAUGCGUAGAUAUUAGGAGGAACACCAGUGGCGAAGGCGGCUUACUGGACUGUAACUGACGUUGAGGCUCGAAAGCGUGGGGAGCAAACAGGAUUAGAUACCCCGGUAGUC